GUACUCUCACACUCCCACUCUUUUGGAUUGGGAGCGGUGGACUUGGGUGUUGCUGCUUUACGGUGGCUCACCUGAAAUGGAGUAGUGCAACUCUCGGUUGGACAUAGUACGGCGUGAUAAGUAUCUUCGCCGGCGCCUCACUCGAGGGUGGCCGAUCGGGAGCUCUGUGCUUCAAACCGUCUUCGGACAACAACUGACA
rnacentral:misc_RNA from 1 species